UACGAAGGGUGCAAGCGUUACUCGGAAUUACUGGGCGUAAAGCGUGCGUAGGCGGUUCGUUAAGUCUGUCGUGAAAGCCCUGGGCUCAACCUGGGAAUUGCGAUGGAUACUGGCGGGCUGGAGUGUGGCAGAGGGGGGUGGAAUUCCGCGUGUAGCAGUGAAAUGCGUAGAGAUGCGGAGGAACACCGAUGGCGAAGGCAGCCCCCUGGGCUGACACUGACGCUCAGGCACGAAAGCGUGGGGAGCAAAC
rnacentral:rRNA from 1 species